rnacentral:lncRNA from 1 species
AUGCAAUCGCAAAGGCGAAGUUGCCUAAGAUGGUAUAUGACUACUAUGCAUCUGGUGCAGAAGAUCAAUGGACUCUUCAAGAGAACAGAAACGCUUUUGCAAGAAUCCUGUGAGUUUUUCUUUUCUUAAUAAGAUAAGAUACACUUUUUGUUAUUGGUUUUCACAAGAGAACUGAGUUUGAUGUACAUAACUUGGGAUGUUUUAACAGCUUCCGGCCUCGGAUUUUGAUUGAUGUGAACAAAAUUGAUAUGGCGACUACCGUCUUGGGGUUCAAGAUCUCGAUGCCGAUCAUGGUUGCUCCUACUGCCUUUCAAAAGAUGGCUCACCCUGAUGGUAAAAGACGUUUUUCUUUUUUCCUGAAACAGUCAUUUCUAGAGAGUUAAAACUUGUUUUAGUAUCACUAGAGACAAAGACUGAGGCUUACUCUAAUGGAAACUAAUGCAGGGGAAUAUGCUACGGCUAGAGCUGCGUCUGCUGCUGGAACCAUCAUGGUAUGUUAUUAUAUUCAAAAGAAGAUUUUAACCGUCUUGGUGUUUAUAGCUGCUUAAUCCACCAAUCCAUGCAUAACCAAGUUUCUGGUUUGAGUUAUUUUCUUCCAUGAUGUUUCAGACACUAUCUUCAUGGGCUACUUCAAGUGUUGAAGAAGUUGCUUCCACAGGGCCAGGAAUCCGAUUCUUCCAGCUCUAUGUAAGUUGCUUGAUGAACAAUUCUGAUAUACCUGUGGUCACACGUGAUGGUUCACACGUUAUGAUUGUUCUGAGUAGGUAUACAAGAACAGGAAGGUGGUUGAGCAGCUCGUGAGAAGAGCCGAGAAAGCUGGGUUCAAAGCCAUUGCUCUCACUGUAGACACCCCAAGGCUAGGUCGCAGAGAGUCUGAUAUCAAGAACAGGUAAAGCCACAUCAAUUGAAAUGUGAUAAGAGUUGAUUAGACUCGAAUAUGCAAACAUAUAGCUAAACAAUUAUAGAGUAACGAUGUGUGUUCUUCUACUACAGAUUCACUUUGCCUCCAAACCUGACAUUGAAGAACUUUGAAGGUCUUGACCUUGGAAAGAUGGACGAGGCAAGCAUCGAUCAGAUAGUAUCCAUUACUUAAGUCUGAAUAGUGUCAAUGAUCCACUUAAAAACUAGCUUUAAAGCAUACGGUUUGUUUCCUGAUUAUGUUCCUAAACUUGUUAUGUUUCCACCUGCAGGCCAAUGACUCUGGCUUGGCUUCGUAUGUUGCUGGUCAAAUUGACCGUACCUUGAGCUGGAAGGUAAGAGAAUACAACAAAUUUUCAGAUACCACAGCAAAACCAAAAACUUGAUUCAGAUUGCUCUAACUUUCAUCUACAAAAACAGGAUAUCCAGUGGCUCCAAACAAUCACCAACAUGCCAAUUCUUGUCAAGGGUGUUCUUACAGGAGAGGAUGGUGAGUUUCCAUUUGCCAAACAAAUAAUUUCAACACUCUAGUGUCAUAGAAAUACCUGACAAGGUCAACUAUUAUUGUCCCCAUGCAGCAAGGAUAGCGAUUCAAGCUGGAGCAGCAGGGAUCAUUGUGUCAAAUCAUGGAGCUCGCCAGCUUGAUUAUGUCCCAGCAACAAUCUCAGCCCUUGAAGAGGUAGAUCAUUCUCGACUACAAACAUAAAUCUGUGUUCUCGAUAAGUAUUUAUGUACAAGCACAUUAGCUUUGUUCUCUUGUGUUCAGGUUGUCAAAGCAACACAAGGACGAGUUCCUGUCUUCUUGGAUGGUGGUGUUCGACGUGGCACUGAUGUCUUCAAGGCACUUGCACUUGGAGCCUCUGGAAUAUUUGUAAGCAUCACAUCAUAUAUCCAUUCACCAGAAAGUUGCUUAAAAACAGUAAAUAUUUAAAAUGCCUUCUCAAUCUCAGAUUGGAAGACCAGUGGUUUUUGCACUAGCUGCUGAAGGAGAAGCCGGAGUCAAAAAGGUGCUUCAAAUGUUGCGUGAUGAGUUCGAGCUAACCAUGGCACUAAGUGGGUGCCGGUCACUCAGUGAAAUCACCCGUAACCACAUUGUCACGGAAUGGGACACUCCACGCCAUUUGCCCAGGUUAUAGAGAAGAAAAAAAAAACAGAGAACAGAAACAACACGGCACCAAAACGUAUUCAUAUUCUGAUUGAUCACUUUGCUUCUACUCUGCUAUAUUUAUAUCUCGAAAAACUUGUUUCUCCCUAUAUCGGAUCACAAAAACGUGCGUAGAGAUUCUCUGUAAUGCUAUUUGGCUACAUUUUACCUUUCCGUUUAUUCUUAUUGCUUGUACAAUAGAUGUUGAUUCCUACAAUACCAAUGAAUACUAAAAUCUGUUCCCGGAAAACUAGUAUAGUCAGAAAAUCUUACAUUGCACCCAACUUCCACAAUCCAAACACAGUUCAAAUCUUAUAUUAACAGCAGCCAAAACCUCACAGAAACUAGCUACCAAAAGAGCACAAAAGAAUACUAUAGGAGAACUCAGAUUAAGGAAAGACAGGUUUGUGAGAUUUACAAUACCUUAUUGAAGAAGAAUGUAAGCGAAUUCAUCCUUCACUUUGUGCUGGGCUAAGUAUUGCAUCGAAAAGCCCAAAAUAAUUUGGCUCACGAAUUCGAAACUCUUGGAUUUAUGCACUUUUCUGAAAAAAAAAGAAAAACGAUUGGUUUACGAAUUACUACUAUUUUUCUACGAGAUUAAGAACGAUAAUAUGUAAGAAAAAUCUAAGACACACACCAUCCAUCAGAUUUUUGUCCGUAUCUCCUCAUCAAUUCUUCACCUCCAGCUUCUCAUCCAUAUUUCUUUCUUUCCAAUGCAAACAAGUUUUCAACUGUUAAAAGAUAAACCAAAAACUCACAAGCCAAUUAAUCUAUCAGAAAUAUUUAACUUUUAACCAAAUAAAAACGUUGAGAUAUAUAUAAUAUAAGCGUUCCUUACCACUCACACACUUCAUCUCUCCCCAGAGCUCUAUUCCCAUCAAGGUGUGUGAGAUUCUCUGCUAAGACAAACCAAAAACCAGAUUGUUUUGCGUUCAUGGACAUGUUCCUCUCUGGAGAUUAGAAUCGUAGCUAUGACUAUGUCUGAAUUUCACAAGAGGUAGCUAACUCAGGCCUUUUUGCUCUUUUGACAGAAACACACUUCGGAAGAUGGAGAUCACUAACGUUACCGAGUAUGAUGCAAUCGCAAAGCAGAAGCUGCCUAAGAUGGUGUACGACUACUAUGCAUCUGGUGCAGAAGACCAAUGGACUCUUCAAGAGAACAGAAACGCUUUUGCAAGGAUC